UACGGUUACCUUGUUACCACUUCACCCCAGUCGCUGACCUUACCGUGGCCUGCUGCCUCCUAAGUUAGCACACAGUCUUCGGGUAAAACCAACUCCCAUGGUGUGACGGGCGGUGUGUACAAGGCCCGGGAACGUAUUCCCCGUGGCAUGCUGAUCCACGAUUACUAGCGAUUCCAACUUCAUGCUCUCGAGUUGCAGAGAACAAUCCGAACUGAGACGGCUUUUGGAGAUUAGCUCCUCAUUGCUGAGUGGCUGCUCACUGUCACCGCCAUUGUAGCACGUGUGUAGCCCAGCCCGUAAGGGCCAUGAUGAUUUGACGUCAUCCCCACCUUCCUCCGGCUUAUCACCGGCAGUCCCUCUAGAGUGCCCAACUUAAUGCUGGCAACUAAAGGCGAGGGUUGCGCUCGUUGCGGGACUUAACCCAACAUCUCACGACACGAGCUGACGACAACCAUGCAGCACCUGUAUCCAAUCCAGCCGAACUGAAGGAAAGCAUCUCUGCUAUCCGCGAUUGGUAUGUCAAGGGCUGGUAAGGUUCUUCGCGUUGCCUCGAAUUAAACCACAUGCUCCACCGCUUGUGCGGGCCCCCGUCAAUUUCUUUGAGUUUUAGUCUUGCGACCGUAGUCCCCAGGCGGGGUGCUUAACGCGUUAGCUGCGUCACAAACAGCAUGCUGUCUGACAACUAGCACCCAUCGUUUA
rnacentral:rRNA from 1 species